GAUAUGCCAGAAGCAAAAUGAUACGGAUGGUUUGUGGACUGAUCUACCAAGCUGCAAUCCUUUUGCUGCUUAUUGCACAAGUACAAUCAAUGUAAAAAAUGGAGUGUUUAUUCCGAACUAUACACACAUUGGAGCGGAGGCAAAUGUUACAUGUAAUAAUGGCUACCGUCUAUCGAAGGCUUCAAGAAUGAUGUGCCAGAAGCAAAAUGGUACGGAUGGUUUGUGGACUGAUCUACCAAGCUGCAAUCCUUUCGCUGGUUAUUGCACAAGUACGAUCAAUGUAAACAAUGGAGUGUUUAUUGCGAAUAAUACACACAUUGGAGCGGAGGCAAAUGUUACAUGUAAUCACGGCUACCGUCUAUCGAAGGAUUCAAAAAUGAUGUGCCGGAAACAAAAUGGUACGGAUGGUUUGUGGACUGAUCUACCAAGCUGCAAUCGUAUCUCUACAUAUUGUUCGAGCACGAUCAAUGUAAGAAAUGGAGUUUUCCAUGUCUCCGAUACUCACAUUGGAGCUGAGGCAAAUGGUACAUGUAAUCAAGGUUACCUCCCAUCGAAUAAUUCAACAAUAACAUGCCAGCCACGCAAUGAUAGCCAUGGUGUGUGGAAUAACCUUCUAAGCUGCAACCAAAAAGUAGCUGCCAAUACUGGUGCUGUCAUUGGGGGCAUUUUUGGCGGCUUAGCAGGUAUUAUGGUGAUCCUUUCACUUUUGCUGUGCAAACAAUCAAACAGGAACCAGAUCUUUAGAGUGAUCCAAAAACAUCUUGAGCUGGGAGCGCGGCCCACAACUGGCACCGUUAUGGAGGACUUCAGUGGAAGUGACAAUAUUGAUAAACGUGGGAGCACUGCAACAUUGCUUACCGGUAUUGAUCCAUCUAAGGUGGCGACCAUGGCAACAAGCUGUGAGAGCACGACCAAAGAGGUCUAGUAUGGUGACACGACACUGUGGCUGUGGAAAAGGACAUUGAUUAGCUGUACACUGGUUGUACACUGGUACACUGCCAAAACUCUCCCCGAGCUGAAGAUAGUCACUAUGACCCAGUAUGAUGUGAGCACACCACAUUGCCAGUGUUUGAGAAGGAAAUGGAUUGAUACAAUUAUCAUGAUGGUGUCUACAACUGGAAGCAUCAACAUCAUUGCUAUCUCUGCAGCUCGCACAGCCUGAUGAAAAUCAACACGAUAGUUAUUGGUGGUUCAAAUUUGCUAAGUCAGUAUUUCAUCAAUGUUUCCAUGUAGAUUGUUCAUUUCGUGUUUUCUUUCCAUUUCUUCAUUUGAAGGUAUUCCGACUUUGCAUGUCUUUUUCUCCUCUCAAUUUAUCACUUUCCUGCAAGUGCGAUCUACUCGUAGAUUUUUGGUUAGGUGAUUUUCUGUGAGCAACUCCAUUAGGCAAUGUCUGUUUACUGUGGUCGUGUUUACUGCUCCUAAUCACCAGCAUUGUUCAGUAUGGCUCAUAUGAUGCGAUUGGGCUUCGGUAUUAUCGACCUUUUGAUUUCCCAGUGUCAGCAUACGGUUUAUUAUUAUUCUGAGACCUGUGGUCGGGUAAUUUUCUGCAGGAACUCCAUGUUCAGCCUUUUCCUGUACAAAUGCAUGAAUUGU